CAGUAGCCACGGUAAUACAGAGGGUGCAAGCGUUAAUCGGAUUUACUGGGCGUAAAGGGCGCGUAGGUGGUUAUUUAAGUGAGAUGUGAAAGCCCCGGGCUUAACCUGGGAACUGCAUCUUAUACUGGGUAACUGGAGUGCAGUAGAGGGUAGUGGAAUUUCCGGUGUAGCGGUGAAAUGCGUGGAUAUCGGAAGGAACACCAGUGGUGAAGGCGGCUACCUGGACUGAGACUGACACUGAGGCGCGAGAGCGUGGGGAGCAAACAGGAUUAGAUACCCCAGUAGUCCCUGUCUCUUAUAU
rnacentral:rRNA from 1 species